CACAAAAUAAAGUUAACAUAUUAACUUCAUCAAUUGUUCGUACAUAUGAUUACCCAACAAAGUUAACAUAUUAACUUCACCAAAUUGCAUUUUGACAUCCUCUGUUACAUUUUCACUCCCUGUGCUAGUCAUAAUCUAUAAUAUGGAAACCGAAAAAAGGACACCAAAUAGGGCAUUCGAUGUAGAUGUACAAAAAAAGGUGUCCUACCUAACCACGGUCACAAGCCUUUGAAAACCACUUUACAAAAAACAAACAAGUUGUCAUGUUAUACCAUGGUCACCCUCCUUCCAAAAAUAUAGGGUAUGCACCAAAACCAAUACCAUUGCAGCAUUAGAUCUAAGCUCACAAAAAUAUAUACUGGUCAGUCAUUAGAGUCCCAUUACCUAACCUUGUUAGCGGCGCCGAGGUUUAGGCUGACCGCGGCCUGUACGUGUUUCUGGUAUAGUCACUGCUGAUUUUUUUGUUUCCGAAUAUAAACCCUCUUUUUUCUAACGGUGACAUCUGCCACAUCCUUGUCUUUAACCUCAACAUUACCAAUCUUGUUCCCCUUUGCCAUAAAAUCAGAUCCAUUUUCUAUCACUUUCAAUUCUUCACGUAUUAUCGCAUCACGCAAUUGAUUUUUUUCAUUUCGGAG
rnacentral:lncRNA from 1 species